rnacentral:rRNA from 1 species
CCUACGGGGGGCAGCAGUGGGGAAUUUUGGACAAUGGGCGCAAGCCUGAUCCAGCUAUUCCGCGUGUGGGCAGACGGCCUUCGGGUUGUAAACCACUUUUGUAGAGAACGAAAAGUCUAUUGAUAAUACCGAUAGAUGAUGACGGUACUCUAAGAAUAAGCACCGGCUAACUACGUGCCAGCAGCCGCGGUAAUACGUAGGGUGCGAGCGUUAAUCGGAAUUACUGGGCGUAAGGGGUGUGCAGGCGGUUUUGCAAGAUGGAUGUGAAAGCCCCGGGCUUAACCUGGGAAAGCCAUACAUGACAGCAAGACUAGAGUGCGUCAGAGGGGGGUGGAAUUCCAAGUGUAGCAGUGAAAUGCGUAGAUAUUUGGAAGAACACCGAUGGCGAAGGCAGCCCCCUGGGACGCAACUGACGCUCAUACACGAAAGCGUGGGGAGCAAACAGGAUUAGAUACCCGAGUAGUC